CUGAUGCAGCCAUGCCGCGUGUGUGAAGAAGGCCUUCGGGUUGUAAAGCACUUUCAGUCAGGAGGAAAGGGUGUGAGUUAAUACCUCACAUCUGUGACGUUACUGACAGAAGAAGCACCGGCUAACUCCGUGCCAGCAGCCGCGGUAAUACGGAGGGUGCGAGCGUUAAUCGGAAUUACUGGGCGUAAAGCGUACGCAGGCGGUUUGUUAAGCGAGAUGUGAAAGCCCCGGGCUCAACCUGGGAACUGCAUUUCGAACUGGCAAACUAGAGUGUGAUAGAGGGUGGUAGAAUUUCAGGUGUAGCGGUGAAAUGCGUAGAGAUCUGAAGGAAUACCGAUGGCGAAGGCAGCCACCUGGGUCAACACUGACGCUCAUGUACGAAAGCGUGGGGAGCAAACGGGAUUAGAUACCCCGGUAGUCCACGCCGUAAACGAUGUCUACUAGAAGCUCGGAACCUCGGUUCUGUUUUUCAAAGCUAACGCAUUAAGUAGACCGCCUGGGGAGUACGGCCGCAAGGUUAAAACUCAAAUGAAUUGACGGGGGCCCGCACAAGCGGUGGAGCAUGUGGUUUAAUUCGAUGCAACGCGAAGAACCUUACCUACACUUGACAUACAGAGAACUUACCAGAGAUGGUUUGGUGCCUUCGGGAACUCUGAUACAGGUGCUGCAUGGCUGUCGUCAGCUCGUGUUGUGAGAUGUUGGGUUAAGUCCCGCAACGAGCGCAACCGCUAUCCUUAGUUGCUAGCAGGUAAUGCUGAGA
rnacentral:rRNA from 1 species